rnacentral:rRNA from 1 species
UAAACGACUCUCGGCAACGGAUAUCUCGGCUCUUGCAUCGAUGAAGAACGUAGCGAAAUGCGAUACUUGGUGUGAAUUGCAGAAUCCCGUGAACCAUCGAGUUUUUGAACGCAAGUUGCGCCCGAAACCAUUAGGUCGAGGGCACGCCUGCCUGGGCGUCUCAC